AAGCCUGGCGGAGGAUUGGGUGCACACCUGUGGUCUCCGCACUCUGAAGACUGAAGCAGGAUUACUGCAAGUUCAAGGCCAGCCUGGGCUAGUGCGACCCUGAUAGAAAUCCCGGUGCAGGGCCAGAUCAGAUGUUGAGUGUGGAUUCUGACAUUCGAGUUCAGAUAGGUACUGAGCCUGGCUCCCUGAGACAGGCCCUGGGGUAUGUACACCGAGGACUCCAGUCUCCCUCUUGUAGGAGGCCUUUGUACCCGCCCAGCCAGCUCUCAGAGAGUUAGAGCUGCUUCUCUGGUCUGGGCUCGAGGCUGGUCCGUAGGCAGUGCCCUGGCCCGGAUCUGGGUGAGGAGCACGGGGAACUCACAGCAACACCCUCUAGGGGCCUGUGCCGGCCUCAAGGGACCCCAACCCAGCCAGUUCCCUGGGGGCUGUAGGCCCGUGACAUCCGCCCCACAGUUUUCAGACACCGACAACAUUCUGACCAACAACCGGACGCUGCGGUUUCUGACAGAGCAGGGGCUGCCCGUGGCGGCCCCGAUGCUGGACUCACAGACCUACUACUCCAACUUCUGGUGUGGGAUCACCCCUCAGGGCUACUACCGCCGCACAGCCGACUACUUCCCCACCAAGAACCGCCAGCGCCAGGGCUGCUUCCGGGUCCCCAUGGUCCAUUCCACCUUCCUGGUAUCACUACGGGCUGAGGGGACAGCCCAGCUCGCCUUCUACCCCCCUCACCCCAACUACACAUGGCCCUUCGAUGACAUCAUUGUCUUCGCCUACGCCUGUGAGGCUGCUGGCGUCUCGGUCUACGUGUGCAACCAGCACCAGUUCGGGUACAUGAAUGUGGCCGUGGGUCCCCACGAGGGGCUGGAGGAGGAGAAGGUCAACUUCAUCCACCUGGUCCUACAAUCGCUAGUGGAUGGGCCCCCCAUGCAGGCCUCCACUCAUGUGUCUUGGCCCCCAAAGAGGCCCAGCAGGCUGGGGUUUGAUGAGGUCUUUGUCAUCAGCCUGGCCCGCAGGCCUGUCCGUCGCCAGCGAAUGCUCAGCUCACUCUGGGAGAUGGAGAUCUCCGGACGCGUGGUGGAUGCUGUGGACGGCCGGGUGCUCAACAGCAGCGUCCUCAGGAGACUGGGCGUGGAUCUGCUCCCUGGCUACCAGGACCCCUACUCGGGACGCACGCUGACCAAGGGCGAGGUGGGCUGCUUCCUCAGCCACUACUCCAUCUGGGAGGAGGUGGCGGCCAGGGGCCUGGCCCAGGUCCUGGUGUUCGAAGACGACGUCCGCUUUGAGAGGAACUUCCGGCGGCGGCUGGAGCGGCUGAUGGAGGAGGUGGCCGGGCAGAAGCUGGAAUGGGACUUGAUCUACCUGGGCCGGAAGCAGGUGAGCCCGGAGGAGGAGGUGGCCGUGGAGGGGCUGCCGGGCCUGGUGGUGGCCGGGUACUCGUACUGGACCCUGGCCUAUGCCCUGAGCCUGGCGGGCGCCCGGAAGUUGCUGGCCUCGCAGCCCCUGCGCCGCAUGGUGCCUGUGGACGAGUUCCUGCCCAUCAUGUUCGACAGGCACCCCAAUGAGCAGUACAAGGCGCACUUCUGGCCGCGGGACCUGAAGGCCUUCUCGGCCCAGCCGCUGCUCGCCGCCCCCACCCACUACGCAGGGGACAGCGAGUGGCUCAGUGACACAGAAACGUCCUGUCCUUGGGACGACGACAGUGGCCGCCUCAUCAGCUGGACUGGCUCUCACAAGACCAUGCGCGACCCCCGCCUGGACCUGGCAGGAAGCAGCGGGCACAGCCUCCACCCCCACCCCCAGGACGAGCUCUAGGUGCGGUGGCAGGGAAGGGAUGGCAGCCCCCGGCCUGGGCCGCCCCGCUGCACACAGGGCUACGGUGCCCAUUUCAGCAAGUCCCCUCGCUGGGCAUCUGCGCGUCCUGCCCCUCAGGGUCCCCGUCCCACCAGGCCGAGAGAUGGCUCCGGAGGAGACCUGACCGCGCUGGCUGGCAGGAGCCAGGAAGCCAGCAGAGGACUGGCUGGCACCUCAGGCCCCAUCUUGGGAGAAACCACUCAGAGACGCAGCCGGGUCCCUUGGGGAAGUCACAUGGCCGAGCCGGGCCUCAGCCUUGAUGCAGGCUGGGCACAGCGGGCCCUGCCCUCCCUGGCCACACGGAAGCCGGGUCCCUGCCCUCUACCUCCCCGCACCCUGUCCUGAGGCAAGGCUGUCUCUCGGGACCUCCUCCAGCCAGUGGGAAGGAACUGCAGGGAGUGGGCGGCACACAGCGGCCCUCAAUAAAGGCCUGCAGCGUUUGCACUUAACUUUGUAACCGC